AGACGGAGCCCAAAGCGAAGAGGUGGGCGACGACGUUGGGGAAAGUUUCUGUCCGUUGGAGCUUGUGGAUGUGGCUGCUGUUGAGGUCGGGAUGGUUGUUGAUGCUGAAGAAGCCGCCGCGGCCGCCGCCGCUCCAAAGAAACGACAAGCCAGCCGCAGCCCGGGAGGAGUGACUGACAGCGUCCACGCCAAUUAGAACCCCAGAUACAACCUGGACUCGCACCAUCCUUCUCCAACAGAACAGAGCUGGGUAGGAUUGACAUUGACAUUAUCCUAUCGUGGCGAAAAAGGAUGGGCUGCUCCACGUUCUGCUCUCCUCACCCGAUUAGCUACUUGCGCGCUGCCGCGCCUCCUUCCUGCAAUAAUUGUCAGCCUCGUCCUCCAGCCAGGAGGCCGUAACUCUAGACCCUCCCCUUCCAUUUGCUAUUCGAACAACAUUACUGGGCUUUCCAAAGGGGUGCCGUUUGACUGACGCUUCCUUCAUUCAAUCGUCUGCCCCGUCCAGGGCCCGGAGUGCGCGAUCUCGUGAUUGGCAUCUAAACUCAACCUGUCCUUUCAGCCCAAGGUUUGUCUGCUGCUGGGGCUCUUUUUACUCAUUGGUUGUAUUUCAGCUGAUCGCAGGGAUAUUUGCAUCUUUUACCCGUUUGUCUUGCAUUAUAAUUUUGCUCUGUUGAUGUUGAAAUAAGUUAACUUUUUCGGUAGACCUGUCAGUUGCUAUUAAUCCAGCUGAGAACGAGCCCUUGCAUUUGUGCAUACGUCUCGAUAGACCUAGCUGUGAAAUUGUGUGUUAUUGUUCCGCUUGAGUUGUAUUUUUUUUUAGGAUAUCGCGAUAGUCCUUUUCAAAUCACGAAAGUGAAGCCGCAACAGAUGUUGACCAUGCUUUCUCAAAAAUGGCGAGGCGCAUAAUUGAAGCGUGCCUCCUUCUCCAGACCCUCUGCUUGCUGACAUUUAGGAUUUCAGAACCAGCCAGUUUAAAAUAUAAUAUUCCUAAAAAUUGUAAUGGGUGAGAUCGGACAGGAUCAAAUGGAAAAGUGAACGGGUUUUUCUCAAGCAUAAUUGUACAUUUAAUGCUGUGUACUUCUUCAUUUGUAAUUGAAGGCCGGAGUAGAAUCCAAUUUCAAUUGAAUAGAUGAAUGACGUCGGCCGUCCAAUCUGCCAGUGGGACGUGAGAACAAUUUCAAGCAGAAGUCUCGAUUUAUGGAUAUCUAGUCGGCACGGACUAGAAGGGUCGAGAUGGCCUGUUUCCGUGCUGUAAUUGUUAUAUGGUUAUAUUAUAGGAAUCACGGUAUAGGGAGAGGGGUGAUCAAGCAAAUGUCGCGGUAGAAGAUCGAGGGGGCGCAUGGCCUACUACCACUGUUUCUCGUUGUGUACGCUUUUCUGGAGAUGGUGCACCAACUUGAGCACAUCACUGUGGGGAGGAAUUCUACCAUUGCCAAUAUACCAACCCUUGUAUUUGCUGUGCAGUUGUGUUUUCAUUGUGCAAUAUGUAAUUCCCAAAGUAUUGCAGUUGUGAAAUUUGACAAAUACAACUUGAAAUCUAGCUUGAA